ACAUCCCUUUCCCUCCAUGUAUGCUCAAAACUGCCCUUGGAUGCCAUCAAAGCCCCAGCAUCCACAUCCCCAGGCAUUCACAGCCUGGCACCUACUUGCCCUGGAGAUCAGGAGCACGGCAGUGAAGAGCAGCCCGAAAGUAGGAGCCAGCUUCAUGGUGCCAGUGGCAAGUUCGUCAGGCCCCAUUUGAGGCCCUUUUAUACCUGUGCCAGGUCUCACAGUGGGGCAGGAAAAGGCCUGUGUCUUUCCAUUUGCUGAUUAUCUCCCCCUACCCAUAGAUGUAUGAGGAGCUCCAAUGUGCUGCUACAUCCUCAGGGCUCAGACCAGGACCAACACAAAGUAGAUGCUCUAUAAAUGUCUGUUAGAUGAAUUGAAGGGACAUCCCCAUUGCUCUGGAGUC
rnacentral:lncRNA from 1 species